GACGAAUGCUGGCGGCGUGCUUAACACAUGCAAGACGAACGGAUAUGCCCUGCUUUUGUGGGGUGCUCUAGUGGCGAUCGUGUGCUUAACACGUGAGUAACCUGCUUUUGACUUUGUUGUACCUUCGGGAAACUGGAGAUUAUACCAGAUAGGAGAAACUGCUGCCUUUGGGGGGUUGGGAAGUUUAGGCGGGUGGUGAUGGACUCGCGGCUUAUCAGCUUGUUGGUGGGGUAGUGGCUUACCAGGGCUUUCACGGGUAGCCGGCCUGAGUGGGUGACCUGCCACAUUGGGACUGUGAUACGGCCCAGACUCCUACGGGAGGCAGCAGUGGGGAAUAUUACACAAUGGGCGGAAGCCUUAUGCAGCAACGCCGCGUGCGGGAUGACGGCCUUCGGGUUGUAAACCGCUUUCGCCUGGGACGAAGCGUGAGUGACGGUAAUGGGUAAAGAAGCACCGGCUAACUACGUG
rnacentral:rRNA from 1 species